GCAGCAUGACACACUGUGCUCUGUCAUAUGUAAUUUGAGAAUUUCCCUUACACAAUCACACCCACCAGUAUUUGUAGGUAUAGCUAUGUGGAAAUUGCAAAGGAAAGCAGGAAGACACAACUUUCAAUGCAAGGCACCUCUGCUCACCAUUAUCGGUUCCGUUGCUAAAACCUGUUCUCUUUAGACUUUCUUUCUCACUGCCAGACUGGCUACUUUCAGAACAAUGCCACCUGUCAGAUGGGAGUUAUGGAUUUAUUUAUUUGUUAUCUCGUCUUCUCUUAGGAUUGACAAGGAAGAGAAAGGACUGCAGAAGAAUAAGACCCACAAAAUGGAAUCUGCGAUGACGGAGAGCAAUGUGAUUCAUCCUAAGAAGAAUGAGAAGCCACACAGGAGAACUUGGGAUCAAGAGAUAGCAGGUUUAUUUCAUGGCAGGGAGCUGAAACCAGGUGAAAAAAUCCAUCACUUUUUCCUAGUUGUCUUGAGGAAGUUUCCAAAUUAUAACACCCAGGAUUUCUGAACUCCUGAAAGCCUUCGCCAGUAGCUGUGCUGGCUAGAAUUUCUGGGAGUUGCAGUCUGAUAAGAUCUCAGGACCCAAGGUUGGGAAUCCUUGCUUUAAUCGAUCGAUUCUGUCUCAAAUUAGCAUAUAUUCUCUUCCCCAUACAACUAUGUAAACUAUUUAUGGUAUCAAGGCCAGGAAGACAUCCUACUGUGUCUCAAUUAAAUGUUCAGAUUUAGUUUCAUCCUACACUGUAACUAGCCAUGAGAUUCCCACAGCUUUUUGACUACAGGUCCCGGAAUUUGCUGGGAAUUCCCCCUGCCAGAAUUAUGGGAACUGUUUCCAAAAUUUAAACUAUUUCUAUGAGCUCUUAAUCAGGCACAAGUGUUCACAGAAGUUUUCAAUGAAUCGUGUUUAGCAACUUACUCAGUGGCACAAACCAUGAAACUCAAUGCAUAAUCUUAUGCUUGUCUUUUUACUCAAGUUAAUCUACCUCAGGGCGGUUGUUGGCAGGGCAACAUUGGGAGAAGGCCUGCAUUAGAUGAAAAAUGAGCUCUGUUUAUUUCCUAAUGAAUAAAUGAAUAACCCAUACGUUGGAAUGCA
rnacentral:lncRNA from 1 species